UUGGAGGGCAGUCUGGUGCCAGCAGCCGCGGUAAUUCCAGCUCCAAUAGCGUAUAUUAAAGUUGUUGCAGUUAAAAAGCUCGUAGUUGAACUUCGGGGUUUACCCAUUGGUCAGGCUUAAUUGUCUGCACUGGUGAGAUGAAUCUCUACCUUCUGAGGAACUUUCAUGCCAUUUAUUUGGUGUGAUGGGAAAUCAGGACUGUUACUUAGAAAAAAUUAGAGUGUUUAAAGCAGGCUAACGUCUGAAUACAUUAGCAUGGAAUAAUGAAAUAGGACGGACUGAUUCUAUUUCGUUGGUUUCUAGGAUCACCGUAAUGAUUAAUAGGGAUAGUUGGGGGCAUUAGUAUUCAAUUGUCAGAGGUGAAAUUCUUGGAUUUAUUGAAGACUAACUACUGCGAAAGCAUUUGCCAAGGAUGUUUUCAUUAAUCAAGAACGAAAGUUAGGGGAUCGAAGACGAUCAGAUACCGUCGUAGUCUUAACCAUAAACUAUGCCGACUAGGGAUCGGACGAAGUUAAUUUUAUAAUGACGCGUUCGGCGCCUUACGGGAAAC
rnacentral:rRNA from 1 species